rnacentral:rRNA from 1 species
ACGGAGGGGGCAAGCGUUAUUCGGAAUUACUGGGCGUAAAGGGCGUGCAGGCGGGAGUGCAAGUCUGAUGUGAAAGCCCAGGGCUUAACCCCGGAAAGGCUUUGGAAACUGGUAGUCUUGAGUUCAGGAGAGGAAGGGGGAAUUCCCGGUGUAGAGGUGAAAUGCGUAGAGAUUAGGAGGAACACCAGUGGCGAAGGCGACUUUCUGGACAGUAACUGACGCUGAGACGCGAAAGCGUGGGGAGCAAACAG